rnacentral:rRNA from 1 species
AACGAACGCUGGCGGCAUGCCUAACACAUGCAAGUCGAACGAGAUCUUCGGGUCUAGUGGCGCACGGGUGCGUAACGCGGGGGAAUCUGCCCUUUGGUUCGGAAUAACAGUUGGAAACGCCUGCUAAUACCGGAUGAUAUCCAAAGUCCAUAGAUUUAGCGCAAGAGGAGGAGCCGGCGUAGGAUUAGCUAGUUGGGGUGGUAAAGGCGCACCAAGGGGACGAUCCUUAGCUGGCCUGAGAGGAUGGUCAGCCACACUGGGCGGUGGGAAACGGCCCAGACUCCUACGGGAGGCAGCAGUGGGGAAUAUUGGAAAAUGGGCGAAAGCCUGAUCCAGCAAGGACGCGUGAGUGAUGAAGGCCUUAGGGUUGUACAGCUCGUUUACCCGGGAUGAUAAUGACAGUACCGGGAGAAUAAGCUCCGGCUAACUCCGUGCCAGCCGCCGCCGUAA